rnacentral:rRNA from 1 species
UGUGUAGGCGGUCCCUUAAGUUUGGUGUGAAAUCUCCCGGCUCAACCGGGAGGGUGCGCCGAAAACUGGGGGACUCGAGUGCGGGAUGGGAGAGUGGAAUUCCUGGUGUAGCGGUGAAAUGCGUAGAUAUCAGGAGGAACACCGGUGGUGUAGACGGCUCUCUGGACCGCAACUGACGCUGAGACACGAAAGCGUGGGUAGCAAACAGGAUUAGAUACCCUGGUAGUCCACGCCCUAAACGAUGCAUAUUUGGUGUAGGUCAUUCAGUUGAUCUGUGCCGGAGCUAACGCGUUAAAUAUGCCGCCUGGGGAGUACAGUCGCAAGGCUGAA